GAUGAACGCUGGCGGCGUGCCUAAUACAUGCAAGUCGAGCGAACAGACGAGGAGCUUGCUCCUCUGACGUUAGCGGCGGACGGGUGAGUAACACGUGGAUAACCUCCCUAUAAGACUGGGAUAACUUCGGGACACCGGCGCUAAUACCGGAUAAUAUAUUGCACCGCAUUGUUCAAUAGUGAAAGUCGGUUUUUCUGUCACUUCUCGCUGCAUCCGCGCUGCUUUAGCUAGUUGGUACGUUAACGGCUUACCAAGGCAACGAUGCGUAGCCGACCUGAGAGGGUGAUAGGCCACACGGGAGGUGAGACACGGUCCAGACGCCUAAGGGAGGCAGCAGUAGGGAAUCGUCCGCAAUGGGCGAAAGCCUGACGGAGAAAGGGCACGUGAGUGAUGAAGGUGUUCGGAUCGUAAAAAUCGGUUAUUAGGGAAGAACAGAUGUGUAAGGAACUAUGCAGGGAUUGACGGUACCUAAUCAGAAAGCAACGGCUAACUACGUG
rnacentral:rRNA from 1 species